rnacentral:rRNA from 1 species
GGUUGCGAUCAUACCAGCACUAAUGCACCGGAUCCCAUCAGGACUCCGCAGUUAAGCGUGCUUGGGCGAGAGUAGUACUAGGAUGGGUUACCCCCUGGGAAGUCCUCGUGUUGCAACCCC